GCCACCUCUCUCUCUUCCUCUCUCCGAUCCAGAUCGAAGAUGGCGGCUACCGCCGAUGGGAUCCCACUGCAUCAUUAUCCCGCCCUCCACCCCACCACAUCGUCUCCCACCGUCCACCCACACUGGCCAUUUCACUCUCUCUUUGUCUCCCGCAACCAAUCCAGAUCCAGAUCCGCAGCGGCCAUCGCCAACAUCUCGGGGCCCUCCGAUCCCACCCCUCCCUUAUGACCCCGAGGCUGCUGGCCAAUGCCUACGGCGGCAAGGGCGGCGCCUACUACGAGUGGAGCCUCGUGGAGCUGCCCAUGCUCGGCGUUGCCUCCAUCGAAUGCCAUGGCAGACGCAGCUGGGCAUCGCGCUGGACUGCGCCCGCCCAUCGCCAGCAGCACAACCCGCCCUCUCCCUCCCAUUGACCCACCUACCAGCGCCUCCAGCAUGGAGCUCCGCCUCUGCCUCCACCUCCACCCGCACGCGCGGCCCCCUUCCGCCCCGACGCUGCCUCCAUGCCCUGUGGCCGUGCUACUUCCCACGUCCUGCCGCGGCCGCCGACUGCGGAUUGGUAAAGGGCUGCUCCUAUUGCUCCAGGCCAUGCCUCUGAUCCCUUCGUUUUGGCUUGGCACCCCUGGGGCUGCUUAUUUGCUGGAGUUCCAAUCUGGUUGUCUGUAAAUUCUUAUCCGCUGGGCUUAUUUGCUAGGAUUGGUAAAGGACUGCUCCUGUUGCGCCCUCUCUCUCGGUUUGACUCUCUCUCUAUCUUUCUGCUGGCGCCGCUGGAUUAGAGGGUGGAGCCUGAGCCUCCGCUGGUGCAGGGAUCAGACAUUUGUUUGAUCCCAGGCAUCUUCGAGGGAAUCAACGUGACUGUGUUUGCUUAUGGAGCGACGGACAGCGGCAAGACCUACACCAUGCAGUUGCUUCAAGUUAAAAGCGCAUGAAGGGCAGGAGAGCGGGAAGGGGAGGACCAGGCAUGAAGGGCGGGGCCAAGGUGGUUGUCGUGCCACACAAACACGACAUCGUCUUCAUCGCCAAGGCCAAGGAGGACGCACUCUGCACCAAGAACAUGGUCGCCGGCGAGUCUGUCUACAGCGAGAAGAGGUUCUCCGUCUAGUUCAGUGCACUCUAGCUGCUCCUUCUCGGUUGCCUCUCAUGUUUAUGCGCAAUUCCAAACAAAUUCUAUGGGGUAAUCAGCUUAGACUCGGCUAUUGUUAGUUCCUAGAGGAGCAAAUGAUACGCUUAUUUUCAGUAAUUUUUAGAUAUAUUAUGGGGAAUCCAGUGCUACUACUGUCAGUCCCUACUCCCUAGUGCUACUGCUCUAAAUUGACUUGGCGUUGCACUGCUUGCCAAAUUGAUUUGCUUUCUUGCUGCCACAAAAAGUCAGUACUCCCUAGUGUUGAAUCAGUAUUUACAUGCUUGCAAAUAUUGGUCUGAAUCUGCCAUGCUCCCUAAAGUUGACUAAAUCUCAUGGAAUAGAUUAUGUGUCCUUACUUCUUUUACUGUUUCGUUCAUAAUAUAUUGGCUCUAGAUUUUUUGAUUCUUCUCUUCUGAUUCAUGUAACAGCUACCUUGCCUGGCGCUGGUACUAUUAUCCUAUACUAUUUUACUAUCUGUAUGCUCUUCACUGCCCCUGGAAGUACCUCCAUGCAAAAUAAGGUUGAAAGGAGGAGAGUUUGUGACUGCUAUAGAAGGACUGAAGGAGGUCCAUGUUGAAGAAGAUCGACAGAAGCAAUAGAGCUUGUAAUAUUGUCAUUGCCAUUGUAUUUGUGUUGUAUGAUCUAUCCAAGUUUA